CAAAGUGUAGCUUAAAUAAAGCAUCUCGCUUACACCGAGAAAAUAUCUGUGAAAAUCAAAUCACUCUGA
rnacentral:tRNA from 1 species